rnacentral:rRNA from 1 species
GGUUAAGCGACUAAGCGUACACGGUGGAUGCCCUGGUAGUCAGAGGCGAUGAAGGACGUGCUAAUCUGCGAUAAGCGUCGGUAAGGUGAUAUGAACCGUUAUAACCGGCGAUUU